rnacentral:rRNA from 1 species
CCUAGGGUGGUAGGAGUGAGGAAGAGUGGUCAAGGGGCGAGAGCCGGAACCAGUCAAGGAGCGUGAAGGAGGACGGCCCUACGGGUUGUAAACUUCUUUUAUUAAGGAAUAAAGUGAGGCACGUGUGCCUAUUUGUAUGUACUUUAUGAAUAAGGAUCGGCUAACUCCGUGCCAGCAGCCGCGGUAAUACGGGGGAUCCGAGCGUUAUCCGGAUUUAUUGGGUUUAAAGGGGGCGUAGGUGUGUUGUUAAGUCAGUUGUGAAAGUUUGCGGCUCAACCGUAAAAUUGCAAUUGAUACUGGGAGUCUUGAGUACAGUUGAGGUAGGCGGAAUUCGUGGUGUAGCGGUGAAAUGCUUAGAUAUCACGAAGAACUCCGAUUGCGAAGGCAGCUUACUAAACUGCCACUGACAUUGAUGCUCGAAAGUGUGGGUAUCAAACAGGAUUAGAUACCCCAGUAGUC